rnacentral:lncRNA from 1 species
AAAACACUCCAGAGAAACACUGCCUUAGUUCCUUCCUUUGCAUUAAGUAUUUUCUCUUCUGUGACUUAGGGAGACAUGCCCAUUGCAUCUUUCCUGGGAGUUCAUUAUUUCCGAAGCCUGAUCUGUGUAAAUAUCAAAUCACUUACAAGACAUGGCAGGCCUUCCUGGUGAUGAAAUCUGCAACGACUUCAUCUUUCCCGUAAUCACCCAAAUGAAUCCUGAAGUGUGGGCCUUCAGCUGCUGGAAAAUAGGAAACAGAGUCAGGCGCCUCUUGAGGCACAGUUCUGCAAUCCCAGGCAACCACCUCACGCACCCUACGCGACUUUUUGGUGAGCCUGCACAUCUGACCCUGUGGAGAUGCGUGGUGGAGAGUAGCCCUGCAUCACCCAGACAUAAUGGCUCAUUGGCAGCCACAGAGUGA